GAUGAACACUGGCGGCGUGCCUAAUACAUGCAAGUCGAGCGAACAGACGAGGAGCUUGCUCCUCUGACGUUAGCGGCGGACGGGUGAGUAACACGUGGAUAACCUACCUAUAAGACUGGGAUAACUUCGGGAAACCGGAGCUAAUACCGGAUAAUAUAUUGAACCGCAUGGUUCAAUAGUGAAAGACGGUUUUGCUGUCACUUAUAGAUGGAUCCGCGCCGCAUUAGCUAGUUGGUAAGGUAACGGCUUACCAAGGCAACGAUGCGUAGCCGACCUGAGAGGGUGAUCGGCCACACUGGAACUGAGACACGGUCCAGACUCCUACGGGAGGCAGCAGUAGGGAAUCUGCCGCAAUGGGCGAAAGCCUGACGGAGCAACGCCGCGUGAGUGAUGAAGGUCUUCGGAUCGUAAAACUCUGUUAUUAGGGAAGAACAAAUGUGUAAGUAACUAUGCACGUCUUGACGGUACCUAAUCAGAAAGCCACGGCUAACUACGUGCCAGCCGCCGCCGUAA
rnacentral:rRNA from 1 species